rnacentral:rRNA from 1 species
CAGUCGCCGCGGGAACACAGAGGGUGCAAGCGUUAAUCGGAAUUACUGGGCGUAAAGCGCGCGUAGGUGGUUUGUUAAGUUGGAUGUGAAAUACCCGGGCUCAACCUGGGAACUGCAUUCAAAACUGACUGACUAGAGUAUGGUAGAGGGUGGUGGAAUUUCCUGUGUAGCGGUGAAAUGCGUAGAUAUAAGAAGGAACACCAGUGGCGAAGGCGACCACCUGGACUAAUACUGACACUGAGGUGCGAAAGCGUGGGGAGCAAACAGGAUUAGAUACCCGGGUAGUCCCUGUCUCUUAUAC